rnacentral:rRNA from 1 species
GACGAACGCUGGCGGCGUGCUUAACGCAUGCAAGUCGAACGGAAAGGCCCUGCUUUUGUGGGGUGCUCGAGUGGCGAACGGGUGAGUAACACGUGAGUAACCUGCCCUUGACUUUGGGAUAACUUCAGGAAACUGGGGCUAAUACCGGAUAGGAGCUCCUGCUGCAUGGUGGGGGUUGGAAAGUUUCGGCGGUUGGGGAUGGACUCGCGGCUUAUCAGCUUGUUGGUGGGGUAGUGGCUUACCAAGGCUUUGACGGGUAGCCGGCCUGAGAGGGUGACCGGCCACAUUGGGACUGAGAUACGGCCCAGACUCCUACGGGAGGCAGCAGUGGGGAAUAUUGCACAAUGGGCGGAAGCCUGAUGCAGCAACGCCGCGUGCGGGAUGACGGCCUUCGGGUUGUAAACCGCUUUCGCCUGUGACGAAGCGUGAGUGACGGUAAUGAGUAAAGAAGCACCGGCUAACUACGUG